UACAGAGGUCUCAAGCGUUGUUCGGAUUUACUGGGCGUAAAGGGCGCGUAGGCGGUCAGCACAAGUCAGUUGUGAAAUCUCCGGGCUUAACUCGGAAAGGUCAACUGAUACUGUGCGACUAGAGUGCAGAAGGGGCAACUGGAAUUCUCGGUGUAGCGGUGAAAUGCGUAGAUAUCGUAAGGAAGACCAGUGGCGAAGGCGGGUCUCUGGACAGUUCCUGACGCUGAGGCACGAAGGCCAGGGGAGCAAACGGG
rnacentral:rRNA from 1 species